CCCUCCCCAUCCCUGGUCGUAACCCGAAGAUU
rnacentral:scRNA from 1 species